rnacentral:rRNA from 1 species
UGCGUAGGUGGUUUCUUAAGUCAGAGGUGAAAGGCUACGGCUCAACCGUAGUAAGCCUUUGAAACUGGGAAACUUGAGUGCAGGAGAGGAGAGUGGAAUUCCUAGUGUAGCGGUGAAAUGCGUAGAUAUUAGGAGGAACACCAGUUGCGAAGGGGGCGUCUCUGGACUGUAACUGAUACUGAGGCACGAAAGCGUGGGGAGGCAAAACA